rnacentral:rRNA from 1 species
AUACGUAGGGUGCGAGCGUUGUCCGGAAUUACUGGGCGUAAAGAGCUCGUAGGUGGUUUGUCGCGUCGUCUGUGAAAUUCCGGGGCUUAACUCCGGGCGUGCAGGCGAUACGGGCAUAACUUGAGUACUGUAGGGGAGACUGGAAUUCCUGGUGUAGCGGUGAAAUGGGCAGAUAUCAGGAGGAACACCGGUGGCGAAGGCGGGUCUCUGGGCAGUAACUGACGCUGAGGAGCGAAAGCAUGGGUAGCGAACAGGAUUAGAUACCCUGGUAGUCCAUGCCGUAAACGGUGGGCGCUAGGUGUAGGGGUCUUCCACGACUUCUGUGCCGUAGCUAACGCAUUAAGCGCCCCGCCUGGGGAGUACGGCCGCAAGGCUAAAACUCAAAUGAAUUGACGGGG